CUCUCAGCUCACUAUCCACAUUCAGGCCUGGUCUACAUUACAGAGUUAGGUCAACAUAAGGCAGUUUACAUCCACCUAACUAUGUAAGCGUCUACACUUAAA